GUGAUCGCUUCAGCAGCACAUAUACUAUAACUGGACGGAUACAGAGAAGGUUAGCAUGGCCCCUGCACAAGGAUGACACGCAAAUUUGUGAAGUGUUCCAUGGGGGG